rnacentral:rRNA from 1 species
GGGCCCGCACAAGCGGUGGAGUAUGUGGUUUAAUUCGAUGCAACGCGAAGAACCUUACCAGGGUUUGACAUCCUGCGAAUCUCUUGGAAACGAGAGAGUGCCUUCGGGAGCGCAGUGACAGGUGGUGCAUGGCUGUCGUCAGCUCGUGUCGUGAGAUGUUGGGUUAAGUCCCGCAACGAGCGCAACCCACGUCUUUAGUUGCCAGCAUUUAGUUGGGCACUCUAGAGAGACUGCCGGUGAUAAACCGGAGGAAGGUGUGGAUGACGUCAAGUCAUCAUGCCCCUUACAUCCUGGGCUACACACGUACUACAAUGCUACGGACAAAGGGCAGCAAACUCGCGAGAGCUAGCAAAUCCCAUAAACCGUGGCUCAGUUCAGAUCGUAGGCUGCAACUCGCCUACGUGAAGGAGGAAUCGCUAGUAAUCG